rnacentral:rRNA from 1 species
UACAGAGGGGGCAAGCGUUGUUCGGAAUUACUGGGCGUAAAGGGCGCGUAGGCGGCCCGCUAAGUCGAACGUGAAAUCCCUGGGCUCAACCCAGGAACUGCGUCCGAUACUGGCGGGCUUGAAUCCGGGAGAGGGAUGUGGAAUUCCAGGUGUAGCGGUGAAAUGCGUAGAUAUCUGGAGGAACACCGGUGGCGAAGGCGGCAUCCUGGACCGGUAUUGACGCUGAGGCGCGAAAGCCAGGGGAGCAAACGGG